GGGCUCGAAGCCCCCUCUGCAUGAAGACAAGUGCGCCCUGAAAGCAGCCGCUUUCCUGGGAGCAGCGCUUCUCCUUUCCCCCAGGCAGCCUGGGUGGGAUCAGGGGCGGGAAGGAGCGGCUUUUCCAGCCAGCGCCCGCCAGCCAUCCCUCCUCUUCUCCCGGGGUUGGCGUGGAGUGCGACUCGCAUCUCCCCCAACCAAGACUGGGGAGAAGGGGGGUUACGAAUACUGCUGCCCGGUGUAUUUUGAGGGGCUUCGGAAAGGGGAAGGCUGGCCGAGCCCUCCGUUUGCUUGGCUAGGGGAAGAAAAUCACAAGGCGGCCAACGGAUUGUGCUUUUGCUUGCUUUCUGCUUACAUGCUUGCGCAAUUUCUACUCCGCUUUCUACUUUUAGCCUCGCCGCCCUGGAGGCGAGGCAAGUCGCCAUCGAGCUGAUGCUUUUGCAAUUAAAAAGGAAGCCGGGGAGCACCAAUGCUUUAAAAGCUGGUUAGUAAUCCGGCCGAUUGGUCCCCACACGGAACCAAAUCAGCGCCUGCCGAGCGCCCUAAACCCUUCUUCUUUUGCCCUCUCCUAACCAAGCGCCUUCCCGUCGGAGGACUUGCUUCGCUCCGCGCCCCCGCCGGGAGGGAACUUGGAGACUCUCCUCCCGAGAGCCUGUAGGAAUUCUGAGGGCUUCGGCAGCAUUCUAUCUAUAUGGACUAUCGAAACUGGGCAGAAGCAACUCAGAACAUCGGUGCCAAAAGAGGAGAACCAAAAAUAGAACCUUUCUUAAAGAAAACUAAUCAAAGUGGCGAAAUUAAACGAGAGAUGCCUCGUUUUGAAGCAAAAAUAAAAAGAACAGCUAAAACAAGUGGACCUCUGAAAAACGUGGUAAGGCAGUGCUGAAAAAUCGGAGUUUGACUCAUUUAUAUACUGGGAAAUAAAUAUAUUAUUUAUUUUGUAAAAUACAGAAAUAAUCGUGCACACAAUUAUAAGUUGUUUUUCCACAUAUGAUUUCUUUCUCCCCCUCCCCUUCGGGUCAAGCAUUUUCAUAUAGUCAACCUUUUAAAAAUGUUGACUAUAUAGCAUCUCCAUAAAUAUUUAUUUCCGACACUCUUGAAUUUUCCUAUGUCCAGCCUUUUUGACAGUGCAUCCCUGACCUCAAAGCCUCUGUAUAAGCCUAACAUACAGACACUCCCAGAGGUUCAUCUUAAAUUCUUCCUCAUUUAGAUUUUUCUCUUGCAAAGAAAUCUAUAAGGAAGUUCCGGAUGCUAUGAGAUACUACUGUCUCAGGGAGAGGGGAGGGGGGGCAUGGAGACAGAACAAUGCUUUAAAAGGUAUUUUAAAUUAAUAUAUAUUACCUUGAUUAGACCAAUCUUUAAGAUAACUCUUGUUUUUUUUUUU